rnacentral:rRNA from 1 species
UGCGUAGGCGGCUUUUUAAGUUUGGUGUGAAAUCUCCCGGCUCAACUGGGAGGGUGCGCCGAAUACUGAGAGGCUAGAGUGUGGGAGAGGAAAGUGGAAUUCCUGGUGUAGCGGUGAAAUGCGUAGAUAUCAGGAGGAACACCGGUGGUGUAAACGGCUUUCUGGACCAUAACUGACGCUGAGGCACGAAAGCGUGGGUAGCAAACAGGAUUAGAUACCCUGGUAGUCCACGCCCUAAACGAUGCAUAUUUGGUGUGGGCCAUUCAUUUGGUCUGUGCCGGAGCUAACGCGUUAAAUAUGCCGCCUGGGGAGUACAGUCGCAAGGCUGA